GUGGGAUUCUGGCCUGGCUUCCCGGCAGCAAGCAGGAGCUUCAGAUGCUCAUUCCCGCCGCGGUCGGCUGUGGCGGCGACUCAUACCCGUUUCCGCUCGAAUGAUGCCAGCUGUCCUGCUGCGCCACCUUCCUCUGUCCUCGCAUCCGCUGAUGGGAUUUCCGGUCGCUUCCACUUUGUGGCUCUUUUGAAGAAUGCCGCUAGGAACAUUCACACGCAGGUUCUUGGCCAUAAAAUAUGGCUUUUGGAAAAAUAAAGCUGAGACUUGGAGUUCACGGUGGGGGCUCCCCCAUCUGUGAACAGAAGCAGAAGUUUGGAACUGCCUUCUUUACUGCUCGAGAGGGAAAACUUGAGUGAAAACCAGGAUGCUGGCGAAUGUUGAGUAGCUAAGCUGCACAGGAAAUACCACUUGAUGACCUGCGAUCUGGGGAAGCCGCGCCAGGGCUCUGCGAAGCUGCGGACGAGGGAGGCGUCAGUGUGGGGGCUGCAGCUCAGCUCCGGGGGGGACGCGCCUUUCUCCACGGGACCUGGGGCUCAGGUGCUCACGAGGCUGGGGCGCUGCAGGCCACCCGCAGGGGAAACUGAGGCCCUCCAUUUUGUGGGGCUGGAAGACCUUUCCUUCCAAAAGCAGGUGUAG
rnacentral:lncRNA from 1 species